CACUUAGUGACAGCGAUCCUCCCUCCCAGGAGAAUAGCAUGGACACCAGGCAGUGUAAGGUCAGUCUGGUAAUUCCACACCACCUCUAGGAGAACAGCAUGUGUGUGUCUGUUUGUAAACACGGCCAAGAGCCCAGAGAGGAGAUAUAUCAGCACAGGUGUGCUAGUCCCCUCCUCAACUCUGAUGACUGUGAGAACAGGGAACUCUAGUCGCUUUAUACAACAGGCUUAGAAAAUGAUCUGAUUCCGUGGUAACAAAACCUCAGAGAGACAGAGAGAGAGAAGCUAGGUGGAAGAGAGAUAGGUGUUGGAAUGUGGACUAGGUGCUGGAAUGUGGACUAGGUGCUGGUAUGUGGACUAGGUGUUGGAAUGUGGACUAGGUGCUGGAAUGUGGACUAGGUGCUGGAAUGUGGACUAGGUGCUGGAAUGUGGACUAGGUGCUGGAAUGUGGACUAGGUGCUGGAAUGUGGACUAGGUGCUGGAAUGUGGACUAGGUGCUGGUAUGUGGACUAGGUGCUGGGUUAGGUGCUGGUAUGUGGAC